CGGCCCCCGCUCCUCAGUGCCCCCGCGGUGCGUGGCAGGCUGUGGCUUCAUUAUCCUGAUUGAUUCCUCCUGCUCCCCGACACCGUGGGGGCCCCGGCCAAGGAAGGGGGAGGGAAGCGGCAUCUGCGGGGCCCAUUCCCGUUCCUCCACCCAGCCGCUCCUCGGGCUGCCCGGCUACCGACCCUCGGCGCCCCGCGGCGGCCAGUCGGAUGGGGCGGGGUGGCAGCAUCCCCCAGAAUCAGAAAGGUGUCUGGGUGGGGAGGGAGAAUGGAGCUGGACUGAGAACUGAGAAGAGCAAGACCCGGCAGAAUGGGAAAGGUGACAUCUCUGAGAAGCGGGGUCUCCUGGGCAUCCAAGUAUACUUCUCAAGUGACAAGUCAUGGUGCCGCCAGCCCUGAGCACUAAGAAUACAAACCGUGUGAACCCCUCCAUGUGGAGUCUCCAGGCAGAAGAGGAAGCCAUGGCCGCCUAGUGGCUGCCAGGGAGGCUGGCAGGAAGGGGCUUCAUCAGACAUCUCCUGGGAAACAGUGAACUCCCCAUAGAAAGGACAUUUGACAGUAAAAUUCCUG
rnacentral:lncRNA from 1 species